rnacentral:rRNA from 1 species
CGUACACUCCUACGGGAGGCAGCAGUGGGGAAUCUUGCGCAAUGGGCGAAAGCCUGACGCAGCCAUGCCGCGUGAAUGAUGAAGGUCUUAGGAUUGUAAAAUUCUUUCACCGGGGACGAUAAUGACGGUACCCGGAGAAGAAGCCCCGGCUAACUUCGUGCCAGCAGCCGCGGUAAUACGAAGGGGGCUAGCGUUGCUCGGAAUUACUGGGCGUAAAGGGAGCGUAGGCGGACAUUUAAGUCAGGGGUGAAAUCCCGGGGCUCAACCUCGGAAUUGCCUUUGAUACUGGGUGUCUUGAGUAUGAGAGAGGUGUGUGGAACUCCGAGUGUAGAGGUGAAAUUCGUAGAUAUUCGGAAGAACACCAGUGGCGAAGGCGACACACUGGCUCAUUACUGACGCUGAGGCUCGAAAGCGUGGGGAGCAAACAGGAUUAGAUACCCGUGUAGUCCCA